rnacentral:rRNA from 2 species
GCAUCUUCUUGUUUUUAAAAGACCUAUUAAUAGGUAUGCUUAGGGAGGAGCUUGCGUCACAUUAGUUAGUUGGUGGGGUAAAGGCCUACCAAGACUAUGAUGUGUAGCCGGGCUGAGAGGUUGAACGGCCACAUUGGGACUGAGACACGGCCCAAACUCCUACGGGAGGCAGCAGUAGGGAAUUUUCGGCAAUGGAGGAAACUCUGACCGAGCAACGCCGCGUGAACGAUGAAGUAUUUCGGUACGUAAAGUUCUUUUAUUAGGGAAGAAUAAAUGAUGGAAAAAUCAUUCUGACGGUACCUAAUGAAUAAGCCCCGGCUAACUAUGUGCCAGCAGCCGCGGUAAUACAUAGGGGGCAAGCGUUAUCCGGAAUUAUUGGGCGUAAAGGGUGCGUAGGCUGUUAAAUAAGUUUAUGGUCUAAGUGCAAUGCUCAACAUUGUGAUGCUAUAAAAACUGUUUAGCUAGAGUAAGAUAGAGGCAAGUGGAAUUCCAUGUGUAGUGGUAAAAUGCGUAAAUAUAUGGAGGAACACCAGUAGCGAAGGCGGCUUGCUGGGUCUUUACUGACGCUGAGGCACGAAAGCGUGGGGAGCAAACAGGAUUAGAUACCCUGGUAGUCCACGCCGUAAACGAUGAGUACUAAACGUUGGGUAAAACCAGUGUUGAAGUUAACACAUUAAGUACUCCGCCUGAGUAGUACGUACGCAAGUAUGAAACUUAAAGGAAUUGACGGGACUCCGCACAAGCGGUGGAUCAUGUUGUUUAAUUCGAAGGUACCCGAAAAACCUCACCAGGUCUUGACAUGCUUCUGCAAAGCUGUAGAAACACAGUGGAGGUUAUCAGUUGCACAGGUGGUGCAUGGUUGUCGUCAGCUCGUGUCGUGAGAUGUUGGGUUAAGUCCCGCAACGAGCGCAACCCUUAUUGUUAGUUGCCAGCACGUAAUGGUGGGGACUUUAGCAAGACUGCCAGUGAUAAAUUGGAGGAAGGUGGGGACGACGUCAAAUCAUCAUGCCCCUUAUGACCUGGGCUACAAACGUGAUACAAUGGCUGUUACAAAGGGUAGCUGAAACGCAAGUUUUUGGCGAAUCUCAAAAAAACAGUCUCAGUUCGGAUUGAAGUCUGCAACUCGACUUCAUGAAGUUGGAAUCGCUAGUAAUCGCGAAUCAGCAU